rnacentral:rRNA from 1 species
UCGGUACCUAACCAGAGCGCCACGGCUAACUACGUGCCAGCAGCCGCGGUAAUACGUAGGUGGCAAGCGUUAUCCGGAAUUAUUGGGCGUAAAGCGCGCGCAGGCGGUUUCUUAAGUCUGAUGUGAAAGCCCACGGCUCAACCGUGGAGGGUCAUUGGAAACUGGGGAACUUGAGUGCAGAAGAGAAAAGCGGAAUUCCACGUGUAGCGGUGAAAUGCGUAGAGAUGUGGAGGAACACCAGUGGCGAAGGCGGCUUUCUGGUCUGUAACUGACGCUGAGGCGCGAAAGCGUGGGGAGCAAACAAGAUUAGAUACCCUGGUAGUCCACGCCGUAAACGAUGAGUGCUAAGUGUUAGAGGGUCUCCGCCCUUUAGUGCUGCAGCUAACGCACCAAGCACUCCGCCUGGGGAGUACGGUCGCAAGACUGCAACUCAAAGGAAUUGACGGGGGCCCGCACAAGCGGUGGAGCAUGUGGUUUAAUUCGCAGCAACGCGAAGGGCCUUACCAGGUCUUGACAUCCUCUGACAACUCUAGAGAUAGAGCGUUCGGCUUCGAAGGACAGAGUGACAGGUGGUGCAUGGUUGUCGUCAGCUCGUGUCGUGAGAUGUUGGGUUAAGUCCCGCAACGAGCGCAACCCUUUAUCUUAGUUGCCAGCAUUUAGUUGGGCACUCUAAGGUGACUGCCGGUGACAAACCGGAGGAAGGUGGGGAUGACGUCAAAUCAUCAUGCUUCUUAUGACCUGGGCUACACACGUGCUACAAUGGAUGGUACAAAGGGCUGCAAGACCGCGAGGUCAAGCCAAUCCCAUAAAACCAUUCUCAGUUCGGAUUGUAGGCUGCAACUCGCCUACAUGAAGCUGGAAUCGCUAGUAAUCGCGGAUCAGCAUGCCGCGGUGAAUACGUUCCCGGGCCUUGUACACACCGCCCGUCACACCACGAGAGUCCGUAACACCCGAAGUCGGUGGUGUAACCGUAAGGAGCUAGCCGCCUAAGGUGUGACAGAUGAUUGAAUCG